GUUGCAAUUUGCCUUCUUCAUACAAUGUUUAGCUUAUUUACUUACUCGAAGAUCAGAUGUUGUGCGGUUUUUGUCAUAAAGCCUGGUCUAAAUAGUUGCCCACUCUUCAAUGGCUUAUUUAUAGCUUUUGUUACUUGGACACAUUUAUACUAAUGGAUCUAUCAUCUAUGUGUGGCCACAGAUCCUGAAUCUGGUAUUGUAGCCCCUUCUGUGCGCUUGAUUGGACUCCGGUGUUGUUCUGCAUCUUUAUUCUAACUCAUAACCGGAAAAGUUUUCCAUUCCUUUGUUUGAUUUUGCCGGUACCUAAUAAAAGACAUCCUAAUUGUCCAUAUGACAUGGCAAGUGCCAAAAGAGUAGGCAUCCUACAAUCAAUCUACCAUAAUCAUCAGCUUUCCUCUUUCCGAAUCAUCUAGAAACUUAAAAGUAGAAUUAGAGAAACAACCCACAAAACUGAAGG